rnacentral:rRNA from 1 species
UACGUAGGGUCCGAGCGUUGUCCGGAAUUACUGGGCGUAAAGCGCGCGCAGGCGGCCCGCGAGGUGUCACGUGAAAGCCCCGGGCUCAACCCGGGAGGGUCGUGGCAAACCGGCGGGCUUGAGGCCAGUAGAGGUGGGUGGAACUCCUGGUGGAGUGGUGAAAUGCGUAGAGAUCAGGAAGAACACCCGUGGCGAAGGCGGCCCACUGGGCCGGUACUGACGCUGAGGCGCGAAAGCGUGGGUAGCAAACAGG